UACGUAGGGUGCGAGCGUUGUCCGGAUUUAUUGGGCGUAAAGAGCGUGUAGGCGGCCAGGUAGGUCUGGUGUGAAAACUCGAGGCUUAACCUCGAGAUGUCAUCGGAAACCAUCUGGCUAGAGUCCGGAAGAGGAGAGUGGAAUUCCUGGUGUAGCGGUGAAAUGCGCAGAUAUCAGGAAGAACACCAAUGGCGAAAGCAGCUCUCUGGGACGGUACUGACGCUGAGACGCGAAAGCGUGGGGAGCGAACAGG
rnacentral:rRNA from 1 species